GAUCCGCGCCACAAAAUAUCUUUCCAGCUUCUUCCUCUCCUCCUCCGUGCACGACUCCGCCCGAUCCCGCUGCCUCCCUUUCUUUCCCCUGCCUCCGUCGGCGGCUCCACCCCCUGCGCCAGUCACGCGCGUCCGUGGCCUCCCCAACACGGGUGACGCCGGUCGCCGGCUACCCCGGCCAUGCGGCCGCGCUAGGACGGUGGCACGAGGCCACCCGACGGCGCCACCGCCCCAGCACGGACCUGCGUGGUCGCCUCUUCUUUUGCCCCUGCUGCGGCUCCGCUCGGCACCCCGGUCUGCCCGCGGCGCGUCACCUCUUCCUCUCCGUUGCCCCGGCUCAGCUCAGCGACUAGAUCUGGUGAGCCCUCACCCUCUUCUUCUCCUCCUCUAUUCCAUGGCUGCUCCCGUAGGCCCUCCAUCCCUCCAUGUUCCCCUUAGUGUAGAUGACUGGCCGCUGCUACUGUGCUGCAGUACUACUCUUUGCUUACAAACCUUUUUCAAAAUUAGACCAUGUAUCUAAAGUGUUCUUCCAUUUUCUAGGUUGUUGUAUUCAGAGAUGCUGCAGUCCUUAUGCUUAAUUAUGUUCAUGAAAUUAGACCGUAUGGUUUUAAGUUGGAGUACAGCUACUUCGAAAUUAGCAUGCAUAUUUGACUGAAUGGUUGUUAUAUUCAGAGAUGCUGUAGUUCUUAUACUGAAUUAUGUUCAUGACAUUCGAGCACAAGGUUUUAAGUUGGACUACAGCUAUUGCGAAAAUAAGAUGCAUAUUUGACUGAAUGGUUGUUGCUCAGUUUCACAGGUUGUGGCUUAGUUUCGCUGGAAUGUCCCACCUGCUUGCGAACUCCACUGGAUGGGUCUUCGCUCCUGCCCUCCAGACUUUGAUUGAUUGCAUAGGUCAGGAUUUAACUGAACAAAACUAGAUCUCGGCUGCAAAUUUUUUAGAGUAUUUCAAUUUAGGAUUGGGAAAUAAACAGCUGCUCUAAUGGUCUACAUUUCUAUGUGCCUGUCCUGAUCAGAGGCCUGCGCAAAGUUCCU